UCUUGCACUCGGAGCUCUUCUCUGAAGUGCUGGUAUGAGAGGCCACUGCACGCAGCAUCCUAUUAGCAAGUGAAACUAGGCUAGCACAAAGGAAAAGAAAGGCGGAUUCUUCACCAGCUGAGCAGAGGACAGGGAAAGACUAAAGAGACAAACACUCCAGAAUAAAAAGUCACUAUAAACACAGCAAUUACAACAACACACAUUUAUGUCACCACUUCUGAAG